rnacentral:snRNA from 1 species
AUACUUACCUGGCAGGGGAGAUACCAUGAUCACGAAGGUGGUUUUCCCAGGGCGAGGCUUAUCCAUUGCACUCCGGAUGUGCUGACUCCUGCGAUUUCCCCAAAUGUGGGAAACUCGACUGCAUAAUUUGUGGUAGUGGGGGACUGCGUUCGCGCUUUCCCCUG